GAACAUCUGGCUGUCUUCUAUGCAUAGAAGUAGGCUACAAAGGAGAAAAGAAAAAAAGGAAUGAAGACGUCAUCACUCUGUUGAUUUGCGCACAUGUAACCAUGAUGCUGUGAGUCUGGGUUGCUUGGAGAAUGUGCUGGGUAAAGGAGCAGAGGACAGAGGGAAACUUCGAGUGCUCUAGCAUGGCACAGCUGAGUGAAAAUUACCCUUACAUCUCUGUGUGUUGGCCUGGCUGUGAAGAAGAGAAAUGCCCUUCAUUUCCCAGUGGGACAAAUGUCAACAAGCACCAUAUGGCAUGUGAGGCUGGGACUUGUCCUUUGCCUGUUCUGAGGAAACAGCUCCAACCUAUGUUACUUUUGUGUGUGUGACAUUGUCACCAAAGGCACAGCAGGCAUCCUGAGAGCAAAAUCUACCCUGCACUUCUUUGGAGAGGCAUCCAGAAGGUGGGCAGGUGCUUUUUAGUAAGUGUGGGUGAAGGAGAUUGCCUUAUGAUGCCCAUUCACUUCCUUCCUCCUCUAGCAACUGAACAGAUGUGCAGUGAGGAGUCUAUUUCUUCAUUUCAGCGAAUCUCACGGAAACUCACCCAUGUGUCUGUGGACAUUCCUUCCUUCCACAGUUCCUCCAACCUUUCCAUUGCCAUCAUCUCCAUGUACUUUGGCCAUCAGCCACUUCCUUUUCUUCCAAGCUUUUCCGUAUAACCUCUGAGCGCAGGGAAGAAUGGACACAGGUGCCCUCACCUCAUCAUGUGGAUUUCCUCCUGCUUUCUUGGAAGGAUGGAAGUCAGUCUCUGUACUUCACCUUCGGUAUUUUUUAAAAUGUGAUCCCUAUAAAAGAUUUAUAUAUUAAAAAUGUUUUGUGUGUA